AUCGCUUCUUGGCCUUUUGGCUAAGAUCAAGUGUAGUGUCAGUCUAUUGGUCUAUCUGUUUUGUGCCAAUACCACAGUUUGAAUAUAAAUAGGUUCAUAAUACAUUUUGAAAUCAGAGGUUUGGAUUCCUCAAGUUGUAUUGAUCAAGACUGCUUUGGAAGCUGGCACCUAGGCACUUUCUUUCCACCAGUA